rnacentral:lncRNA from 1 species
AGCAAAGUAAACCUAAAUUACUGAACAGCUGACAUUCAACCUACAACAUAAUGGGAAGAACUUGUGAGCGUAUCAAUUACCUUUUAUGAGAAACGUUUUAUCAAGGCAAGGAGGGAACUGCGUGCUGUGAUUCCAUUAAACUGAUUUCAUUUCUUAUUAUUGCCUAUCAGCCUCAUUGCAGGAAAGGGUAAUCUCACAAGCUGCCCUACUGGAACAGCACCUGACUGUACGCAGCACACUACAUUAACAGGUGACAAACGACUGUCAAUCACAAAAGCAAAUCCCACCUUUUUUUGCACACAGCUUGAGAGAAGUCUCAAGCAGCUUCAUUCUUACUACAAAGUCAAUAGAAUGCACGGUUGUACAGUCGCAUAAACGUGCGUACAUAAGACCAUACAGGAAGGUUACAAACGAGAGGAGGCUAGCCAGCUUGUUUAGUUGCUGGUAUUUCACUUAUCCUAGGAUCUCAUUCAGUAGUUUCUUGAAUGACUUCAGAUAGCAACAAGGUUCGAUAGCAUUUUUUGGUCUCUCAUAGCCCUUUGUGUAAAAAUGGAAUUCCUGUUCUGUAUAUGAGGAAUAACAACACCCAAAUAGAACAAUGUAUUUGGGAAUGCUUAUCGAAACAUUAGGCAUGGGAAUAGAGAUUUAGGACAAAAAACUUUGCAUCCCCACAGAGAGAGAGGAGUUAACCAAGGAGCGGCCGCAAAGGUGGAGCUUACUAAGGUGUCUGCUGUAUGCAUGCAAUGUGCCUUCUUUUGACAAGAAUUAUCAUUCGUCUGACUGGCAAAAAAACAAUCUGUCUGUGUUAGGAGAACUUGUCAUCAGUGUGCACGAAAAAGAAUUGGAAGAUGGACUUAAAGGUUAUGUCAAGGUUAGGCUUCAAAUUUUGAAUGUAUUGCAUUAAUGUCACUCAUAAUUCAUAUAUGGGAUAUAAAAGGCAGAUUUUUCAAAUGUUGUAGAAACAAUUUGCUAUACAAAAAAAAAUACAUUGUCUACCAGCUCCAAUAGGUAUACUAUGUUGUCACUAGAGAAUAUGAAAGAAAAAUGAUUUAAUAAGUUAUCUUUAGAUACAAAUAAAAUAUGAGAAUAG